rnacentral:rRNA from 1 species
GUUGUCAACCGAACAUUGUCCAUGCUGCUACGAGCAGUCCUCAAGAAGAAUUUUAAGAUGUGGGAAGAGUGCCUACCUCAUGUGGAGUUCGCGUAUAACAGGGCGGUACAUUCGACCACUAAAUUUUGCCCAUUUGAACUUGUUUAUGGCUUCAAACCUAUUGCUCCCAUUGAUCUUUUGCCUUUGCCACUGCAGGAACGAACUAGCCUUGAUGCAAGUAAGCGUGCUGAUUUCGUCAAGAAACUUCAUGCCCAGGCAAAGGAGAACAUUGAGAAAAUGACUGAACAAUAUGCAAAGUGGGUAAACAAGACCAGGAAGAAGUUGGUGUUCAAGCAAGGCGAUUUGGUAUGGGUACACCUUCGAAAGGAUCGUUUUCCUGAGCAACGUAAGUGCAAGUUGCAACCACGCGGCGAUGGACCAUUUGAAGUGCUCGAGCGAAUCAACGACAAUGCUUACAAGAUCGAUCUUCCAGACGAAUAUGGUGUUAGCCCAACCUUCAAUGUCUCCGAUCUUUCCUCAUACUUUGGGCCUUUAGAGUCGAGGGCGACUCCUUAUCAACAGGGGGAGGAUGAUGAGGACAUCCCAACCAUGGGCACCACA